GAAACAUCCUGCCCGGCGGUGGUGAGAGCACCGCAGGAGGAGACCAGGUUGUUGACGGUGGCGGCGGCGGCGGACGGGACUUCCUCCUUUGACGGGAUAAAAGACGGUAGCAUUCCUGAAAAUGAAAGAG